CAGGAAGAAAAAGUUGGAACUUGAUGCCCUUACAGGCCUUGCUGCAGGUUUGCAUGUGUGUAUCAAAACAAUCUGAAGAGGCAAGUGGAGAAGAAGCUGAUGGAAACGGGGAAUCUUACAACAGCUGUACAUAGAGAAGAUGUUUACCUAUGUUCUUUGGAGAAAUGUAAGCAGAGGUGAAACUGCCAACAACAGAAGCAACUUUCCAGAGGAGAAAUGGACAUCAGACAAGAAAUACCUUCUAUGCUGUGAAUAUCAUGUCGCCAAAGCACCAGAAACCUUAAACCAGAUAAAACUUCACAGAAACAUUGCUUGAAAAUGGACUCGUAUGCAGCAAAUUGUGUUCCAGCCUCUGACACCACAGAAGAAGAGCAGCAGUUAAAUAAGUACCCAUGAGGACACAGUGCUGGGGUACCAAGGUUUCAGUUUAAAAAGACUUGUACUCAACCCAACUCAUGUGCCCAAGGGAUGCACUGCCAUGUGUGCUCUGUGUUGCCUGUUUCCACAUCCUUCCAGCAUUUUGGCAGGAAGUCAAAUUAAACCUAUACGAACAAUCAGACAGGCAGCAGAUUACCUCAGCUUUAAGAGCAAAUACACCUCCUCUCCAGAGAUUUCAUUCUGUGGAAACUACAGGCUGCAGUUUGCAGCUUUUUAAACUCUGCAGAACUGUCUGGCUCAUGUUCGGUUUGCAUUUUAAACCGAAGCGUGGGCUGCAUAUUCAUCUGAGUUACAGAAGUUGAGUGUUCAGCUCUCAGGACGCUUAUGCCAAGCACUUUGUGCUGGCAGCUGCUGCACAAAUGCAGAUCACCGAUCUGUAGAAGUGCCAAGAAGCCCCACCAGAAUUUCUCAGCGCUAACAUGUGUAAACAAGCCUGGGACAUUGCAACUCCACUUCUCCCUCCAGUUCCUUUUUCUUUAAGAAGUGAACUUUAGAUACCAAACUUCAAAUAAAAGUUCAAGGUAUUGAGCACUUUCCUUUACCGUGACCUAGAUCUUCUAUUGUUUCCUGUGUACAGGCUAUAGGAUUAAAUGCCAGGGUCAGGCUGCUUGCCACUGCUCUUGCAAUAGAGUAGUUCUUGUUCUCUCUGGAGUAACAGACAUGAAUUGUACUUCUCUCCUGCUUCAUAACUAGAACUACAACGUACCUGAUUUAAAGGUGCAGCUGUUCUCUGACAGCGCAAAACCACAUCCUAUAUCCUCUGUUCUCACAGCAGCUUUCAGCCCAGCAGCGAGACAUGAGACAACUACCGCUGAAAUCCAGGCGGGGUAAAGCAAGGUCUUUGCAAUCCCUCCCUUCGGGGGUUACCACCAGGGGGGCAGGAACGCCGCACAGGAAAGAGUCAUUUAAAAAGGAAUGGGGCGGGGGGAGAAGAUAAAAAGAAGCAAAGGUCCUGGGAAGCUUCCUAUCCACUGUACAGAGCCACAGCAGAGAGAGCACACUGCAUUGUGUUAAGGGCAGCUAAGCACACUCAAGAGCAGCAGCACUCGCAUAGCAACGGCGGGGGUGUUUAUACAGAUAACUCACAGGGACCCUUGAAAGCACAAAAUCCUUUGUGAAAAAGAAAAAAAAAAGCAGCAAAAAAUCAAAACGUAAAACAGUGAGAAACACGUUUGCUUGCUACAGGUAAUUCUCAGUUUUGACUAAUUUCUUCCAAUUCAACCUACUUCUGCCCCCAGUCAGCGUCUCCCUCGUGCCUGCCAAGAGCACUCGGGCACCUUCUUGUCAGAAUCACAUGCCACAGGCUGAAACAGAUACAGCCAAACCCAGUUCUGCUUCAGCUUUCCAGCGCACCUGGGCUGUGUUUAGGAAAAAGUCAUUUAAAAACAAACAAACAAGCAAGAAACAAUUCAAGGAAGAAACGAGUGAAG